rnacentral:rRNA from 1 species
UAACGCGUGAGGAACCUGCCUCAAAGAGGGGGACAACAGUUGGAAACGACUGCUAAUACCGCAUAAGCCCACGGGUCGGCAUCGACCAGAGGGAAAAGGAGCAAUCCGCUUUGAGAUGGCCUCGCGUCCGAUUAGCUAGUUGGUGAGGUAAUGGCCCACCAAGGCGACGAUCGGUAGCCGGACUGAGGGGUUGAACGGCCACAUUGGGACUGAGACACGGCCCAGACUCCUACGGGAGGCAGCAGUGGGGAAUAUUGCACAAUGGGGGAAACCCUGAUGCAGCGACGCCGCGUGGAGGAAGAAGGUCUUCGGAUUGUAAACUCCUGUUGUUGAGGAAGAUAAUGACGGUACUCAACAAGGAAGUGACGGCUAACUACGUGCCAGCAGCCGCGGUAAAACGUAGGUCACAAGCGUUGUCCGGAAUUACUGGGUGUAAAGGGAGCGCAGGCGGGAAGACAAGUUGGAAGUGAAAUCUAUGGGCUCAACCCAUAAACUGCUUUCAAAACUGUUUUUCUUGAGUAGUGCAGAGGUAGGCGGAAUUCCCGGUGUAGCGGUGGAAUGCGUAGACAUCGGGAGGAACACCAGUGGCGAAGGCGGCCUACUGGGCACCAACUGACGCUGAGGCUCGAAAGUGUGGGUAGCAAACAGGAUUAGAUACCCUGGUAGUCCACACCGUAAACGAUGAUUACUAGGUGU